rnacentral:ribozyme from 11 species
UUCGUCUCUUCUUCUUCUCCUUCUUUCUCCUCUUUUUCUUCUUUUUUCUUAUUUUCCUUCUCUUCG